rnacentral:rRNA from 1 species
UACGUAGGGGGCUAGCGUUGUCCGGAAUCAUUGGGCGUAAAGAGCGCGUAGGCGGCCAGAUAAGUCCGGUGUGAAAGUCACAGGCUCAACCUGUGAAUGCCGCUGGAAACUGUCUGGCUUGAGUCCGGAAGAGGAGAGUGGAAUUCCUGGUGUAGCGGUGAAAUGCGCAGAUAUCAGGAAGAAUAUCCGUGGCGAAGGCGGCUCUCUGGGACGGUACUGACGCUGAGACGCGAAAGCGUGGGGAGCGAACAGG